AACGAACGCUGGCGGCAUGCCUAACACAUGCAAGUCGAACGAGAUCUUCGUGUCUAGUGGCGCACGGGUGCGUAACGCGUGGGAACCUGCCCUUAGGUUCGGAAUAACUUCCCGAAAGGGGUGCUAAUACCGGAUAAUGUCUUCGGACCAAAGAUUUAUCGCCUUUGGAUGGGCCCGCGUGGGAUUAGCUAGUUGGUAGGGUAAAAGCCCACCAAGGUGGCGAUGCAUAGCUGGACUGAGAGGAUGAUCAGCCACCCUGGGACUGAGACACGGCCCAGACCCCCACGGGAGGAAGCAGUGGGGAACAUUCGACGCUGCGCGAAAGCCUGAUCCAGCCAUGCCGCGUGAGUGAUGAAGGCCUUAGGGUUGUAAAGCUCUUUUAACCGGGAUGAUAAUGACAGUACCGGGAGAAUAAGCUCCGGCUAACUCCGUG
rnacentral:rRNA from 1 species